CAUGCAAGUCGAACGAGAAUCUGCGGAAAGAGGAUUCGUCCAAUUGAAGCAGAGGACAGUGGCGGACGGGUGAGUAACGCGUGAGGAACCUGCCUUUCAGAGGGGGACAACAGUUGGAAACGACUGCUAAUACCGCAUAACAUAUAGAUGUCGCAUGGCAUUUAUAUCAAAGAUUUAUCGCUGAAAGAUGGCCUCGCGUCUGAUUAGCUAGUUGGUGAGGUAACGGCCCACCAAGGCGACGAUCAGUAGCCGGACUGAGAGGUUGAACGGCCACAUUGGGAUUGAGAUACGGCCCAGACUCCUACGGGAGGCAGCAGUGGGGAAUAUUGGGCAAUGGGCGCAAGCCUGACCCAGCAACGCCGCGUGAAGGAAGAAGGCUUUCGGGUUGUAAACUUCUUUUGUCAGGGACGAGUAGAAGACGGUACCUGACGAAUAAGCCACGGCUAACUACGUGCCAGCAGCCGCGGUAAUACGUAGGUGGCAAGCGUUGUCCGGAUUUACCGGGUGUAAAGGGCGUGUAGCCGGGAGGGCAAGUCAGAUGUGAAAUCCACGGGCUCAACUCGUGAACUGCAUUUGAAACUACUCUUCUUGAGUAUCGGAGAGGCAAUCGGAAUUCCUAGUGUAGCGGUGAAAUGCGUAGAUAUUAGGAGGAACACCAGUGGCGAAGGCGGAUUGCUGGACGACAACUGACGGUGAGGCGCGAAGGCGUGGGGAGCAAACAGGAUUAGAUACCCUGGUAGUCCACGCUGUAAACGAUGAAUACUAGGUGUGCGGGGACUGACCCCCUGCGUGCCGCAGCUAACGCAAUAAGUAUUCCACCUGGGGAGUACGAUCGCAAGGUUGAAACUCAAAGGAAUUGACGGGG
rnacentral:rRNA from 1 species